rnacentral:rRNA from 1 species
UACAGAGGUCCCGAGCGUUGUUCGGAUUCAUUGGGCGUAAAGGGUGCGUAGGCGGCGGUGCAAGUCUGAUGUGAAAUCCCGGGGCUCAACCCCGGAACUGCAUUGGAUACUGCCUUGCUCGAGUACUGGAGAGGGAACUGGAAUUUACGGUGUAGCAGUGAAAUGCGUAGAGAUCGUAAGGAAGGCCAGUGGCGAAGGCGAGUUCCUGGACAGUUACUGAAGCUGAGGCACGAAGGCCAGGGGAGCAAACGGG